rnacentral:rRNA from 1 species
GAUUUCUGGUACGGCGCGCUUGGCCCGCCAGGGUUACCUGGUUGUGUGCUGGUGCGCGCCUGCCAUCCUUUUGCAUAUCAGUUCUAUCCUUUACUGGUGUGAACUGGUGUGUAAAUCAUUUACUUUGAAAAAAUUAGAGUGUUUAAAGCAGGCUUGCGCUAUGAAUACAUUAGCAUGGAAUAAUAAUUUAGGACUUUUGUUCCUGUUUUGUUGGUUUAUUGGACGGAAGUAAUGAUUGAUAGGGAUAGUUGGGGGUGCUAGUAUUCAGCGGCCAGAGGUGAAAUUCUUGGAUUCGCUGAAGACUAACUUAUGCGAAAGCAUU